UCGAGCGAACAGAUAAGGAGCUUGCUCCUUUGACGUUAGCGGCGGACGGGUGAGUAACACGUGGGUAACCUACCUAUAAGACUGGAAUAACUCCGGGAAACCGGGGCUAAUGCCGGAUAACAUUUAGAACCGCAUGGUUCUAAAGUGAAAGAUGGUUUUGCUAUCACUUAUAGAUGGACCCGCGCCGUAUUAGCUAGUUGGUAAGGUAAUGGCUUACCAAGGCAACGAUACGUAGCCGACCUGAGAGGGUGAUCGGCCACACUGGAACUGAGACACGGUCCAGACUCCUACGGGAGGCAGCAGUAGGGAAUCUUCCGCAAUGGGCGAAAGCCUGACGGAGCAACGCCGCGUGAGUGAUGAAGGGUUUCGGCUCGUAAAACUCUGUUAUUAGGGAAGAACAAACGUGUAAGUAACUGUGCACGUCUUGACGGUACCUAAUCAGAAAGCCACGGCUAACUACGUGCCAGCAGCCGCGGUAAUACGUAGGUGGCAAGCGUUAUCCGGAAUUAUUGGGCGUAAAGCGCGCGUAGGCGGUUUCUUAAGUCUGAUGUGAAAGCCCACGGCUCAACCGUGGAGGGUCAUUGGAAACUGGGAGACUUGAGUGCAGAAGAGGAAAGUGGAAUUCCAUGUGUAGCGGUGAAAUGCGCAGAGAUAUGGAGGAACACCAGUGGCGAAGGCGACUUUCUGGUCUGUAACUGACGCUGAUGUGCGAAAGCGUGGGGAUCAAACAGGAUUAGAUACCCUGGUAGUCCACGCCGUAAACGAUGAGUGCUAAGUGUUAGGGGUUUCCGCCCCUUAGUGCUGCAGCUAACGCAUUAAGCACUCCGCCUGGGGAGUACGACCGCAAGGUUGAACUCAAAGGAAUUGACGGGGACCCGCACAAGCGGUGGAGCAUGGUGGUUUAAUUCGAAGCAACGCGAAGAACCUUAC
rnacentral:rRNA from 1 species